GGGUUGUGAGGUUAAGCGACUAAGCGUACACGGUGGAUGCCCUGGCAGUCAGAGGCGAUGAAGGACGUGCUAAUCUGCGAUAAGCGUCGGUAAGGUGAUAUGAACCGUUAUAACCGGCGAUUUCCGAAUGGGGAAACCCAGUGUGUUUCGACACACUAUCAUUAACUGAAUCCAUAGGUUAAUGAGGCGAACCGGGGGAACUGAAACAUCUAAGUACCCCGAGGAAAAGAAAUCAACCGAGAUUCCCCCAGUAGCGGCGAGCGAACGGGGAGCAGCCCAGAGCCUGAAUCAGUAUGUGUGUUAGUGGAAGCGUCUGGAAAGGCGCGCGAUACAGGGUGACAGCCCCGUACACAAAAAUGCACAUGCUGUGAGCUCGAUGAGUAGGGCGGGACACGUGGUAUCCUGUCUGAAUAUGGGGGACCAUCCUCCAAGGCUAAAUACUCCUGACUGACCGAUAGUGAACCAGUACCGUGAGGGAAAGGCGAAAAGAACCCCGGCGAGGGGAGUGAAAAAGAACCUGAAACCGUGUACGUACAAGCAGUGGGAGCACGCUUAGGCGUGUGACUGCGUACCUUUUGUAUAAUGGGUCAGCGACUUAUAUUCUGUAGCAAGGUUAACCGAAUAGGGGAGCCGAAGGGAAACCGAGUCUUAACUGGGCGUUAAGUUGCAGGGUAUAGACCCGAAACCCGGUGAUCUAGCCAUGGGCAGGUUGAAGGUUGGGUAACACUAACUGGAGGACCGAACCGACUAAUGUUGAAAAAUUAGCGGAUGACUUGUGGCUGGGGGUGAAAGGCCAAUCAAACCGGGAGAUAGCUGGUUCUCCCCGAAAGCUAUUUAGGUAGCGCCUCGUGAAUUCAUCUCCGGGGUAGAGCACUGUUUCGGCAAGGGGGUCAUCCCGACUUACCAACCCGAUGCAAACUGCGAAUACCGGAGAAUGUUAUCACGGGAGACACACGGCGGGUGCUAACGUCCGUCGUGAAGAGGGAAACAACCCAGACCGCCAGCUAAGGUCCCAAAGUCAUGGUUAAGUGGGAAACGAUGUGGGAAGGCCCAGACAGCCAGGAUGUUGGCUUAGAAGCAGCCAUCAUUUAAAGAAAGCGUAAUAGCUCACUGGUCGAGUCGGCCUGCGCGGAAGAUGUAACGGGGCUAAACCAUGCACCGAAGCUGCGGCAGCGACGCUUAUGCGUUGUUGGGUAGGGGAGCGUUCUGUAAGCCUGUGAAGGUGUACUGUGAGGUAUGCUGGAGGUAUCAGAAGUGCGAAUGCUGACAUAAGUAACGAUAAAGCGGGUGAAAAGCCCGCUCGCCGGAAGACCAAGGGUUCCUGUCCAACGUUAAUCGGGGCAGGGUGAGUCGACCCCUAAGGCGAGGCCGAAAGGCGUAGUCGAUGGGAAACAGGUUAAUAUUCCUGUACUUGGUGUUACUGCGAAGGGGGGACGGAGAAGGCUAUGUUGGCCGGGCGACGGUUGUCCCGGUUUAAGCGUGUAGGCUGGUUUUCCAGGCAAAUCCGGAAAAUCAAGGCUGAGGCGUGAUGACGAGGCACUACGGUGCUGAAGCAACAAAUGCCCUGCUUCCAGGAAAAGCCUCUAAGCAUCAGGUAACAUCAAAUCGUACCCCAAACCGACACAGGUGGUCAGGUAGAGAAUACCAAGGCGCUUGAGAGAACUCGGGUGAAGGAACUAGGCAAAAUGGUGCCGUAACUUCGGGAGAAGGCACGCUGAUAUGUAGGUGAAGCGACUUGCUCGUGGAGCUGAAAUCAGUCGAAGAUACCAGCUGGCUGCAACUGUUUAUUAAAAACACAGCACUGUGCAAACACGAAAGUGGACGUAUACGGUGUGACGCCUGCCCGGUGCCGGAAGGUUAAUUGAUGGGGUCAGCGCAAGCGAAGCUCUUGAUCGAAGCCCCGGUAAACGGCGGCCGUAACUAUAACGGUCCUAAGGUAGCGAAAUUCCUUGUCGGGUAAGUUCCGACCUGCACGAAUGGCGUAAUGAUGGCCAGGCUGUCUCCACCCGAGACUCAGUGAAAUUGAACUCGCUGUGAAGAUGCAGUGUACCCGCGGCAAGACGGAAAGACCCCGUGAACCUUUACUAUAGCUUGACACUGAACAUUGAGCCUUGAUGUGUAGGAUAGGUGGGAGGCUUUGAAGUGUGGACGCCAGUCUGCAUGGAGCCGACCUUGAAAUACCACCCUUUAAUGUUUGAUGUUCUAACGUGGACCCGUAAUCCGGGUUGCGGACAGUGUCUGGUGGGUAGUUUGACUGGGGCGGUCUCCUCCUAAAGAGUAACGGAGGAGCACGAAGGUUGGCUAAUCCUGGUCGGACAUCAGGAGGUUAGUGCAAUGGCAUAAGCCAGCUUGACUGCGAGCGUGACGGCGCGAGCAGGUGCGAAAGCAGGUCAUAGUGAUCCGGUGGUUCUGAAUGGAAGGGCCAUCGCUCAACGGAUAAAAGGUACUCCGGGGAUAACAGGCUGAUACCGCCCAAGAGUUCAUAUCGACGGCGGUGUUUGGCACCUCGAUGUCGGCUCAUCACAUCCUGGGGCUGAAGUAGGUCCCAAGGGUAUGGCUGUUCGCCAUUUAAAGUGGUACGCGAGCUGGGUUUAGAACGUCGUGAGACAGUUCGGUCCCUAUCUGCCGUGGGCGCUGGAGAACUGAGGGGGCUGCUCCUAGUACGAGAGGACCGGAGUGGACGCAUCACUGGUGUUCGGGUUGUCAUGCCAAUGGCACUGCCCGGUAGCUAAAUGCGGAAGAGAUAAGUGCUGAAAGCAUCUAAGCACGAAACUUGCCCCGAGAUGAGUUCUCCCUGACUCCUUGAGAGUCCUGAAGGAACGUUGAAGACGACGACGUUGAUAGGCCGGGUGUGUAAGCGCAGCGAUGCGUUGAGCUAACCGGUACUAAUGAACCGUGAGGCUUAACCUUACAACGCCGAAGCUGUU
rnacentral:rRNA from 1 species